rnacentral:rRNA from 1 species
UACGAAGGUCCCAAGCGUUAUCCGGAUUUAUUGGGUUUAAAGGGUGCGUAGGCGGGUUAUUAAGUCAGUGGUGAAAGCCUUCAGCUUAACUGAAGAAUUGCCAUUGAUACUGAUGAUCUUGAGUAUGAUUGAGGUUGGCGGAAUGUGUCAUGUAGCGGUGAAAUGCUUAGAUAUGACACAGAACACCGAUUGCGAAGGCAGCUAACUAAGCCAUAACUGACGCUGAUGCACGAAAGCGUGGGUAGCAAACAGG